GGAAUUUGGCUGCGUAACAGUCGGCAUUUUACAGGUGGUCAGGAGAACUUAUCUGCUGCCUUUAGGCAGAGCAAGGUGAAGGGGAACUGUUCACACCUUCUAAGGAGUCCCUGUGUCCCUCUGCACUUCUGCUGACACAAUGCAUCCACCACAUCUUGUCUGAGGUGGACUAUAAGCUCCUUGGGACAGCUGCAUGACUGCCAUAGUUUGUUUAAGCAGCACCUAGCCUUGCCUUAGUGGCUCCCAGAACCACAGUACAAGCAAACACAACACACCUGCUCAAAAGCUGAGGAAGGCUGGAAAUAAUGGGUCCGUAUCCUGGUGCAUUGUCAUAGAGCUCAAACAACGGUGCAGCUACCAGCUUGUAAUUUUUGGGGACUGCAAACAAAGCCUUUUCUUGAAGCUGGACUAAGAAAAGCUUCUUGUGCUCUUUUGGUUUGGUAAUGUGAGCUGGGAUAUAGGGGUACUGUGGAGGUUCAAAGUUUGGUCUCCACCAGUUACCAAUGCAGUCAUCAAUCACCCAGUCCUGCUGGACGCCAUCCUGACGGCCCAGGAUCUCUGUCAUUAAGCGUUUGAGCCCUUCUACCUCAUCUUCUCCUGGAUUGAGUUCACCACCAGGUAGCUUGAAGAAAGUCGUCCCCAGCUGCAGUAAUAACACGUGGGGCAGUCGGUGCUCGUGCACUAUCAGAACUCCUUCCACCGUCCGCCUCAUACCAAUUUUGUCAAACUCUUCUCUCAUGCGCUGGAACCGAGCAGCCACUGAACUGUCCUUCUCAUAAAGGGGCUCCUUUGUGCCAAAUGUGUAAUUGGUGAGAGGAUACAGGUUGAUGGUCCUCUCCAGUGUCAGCGGCUUGGUCUGCUGGAUGUAUUUGUUCCCGAACUGGUUCACCCCGCGGGGCCAGCCGGUCUGCGAGCGGUUGGGCGGCACCACGGACAUGGCGAGAGGCGGCGGGAACGCUAUCCGCCAUACAACUCCCGGCGGGCCGCGCUGCCACCGCUCCGACGGAAGCGCCCGCCUUCCACUUCCGGCGGCGCCCACCAUAGAGUCGCGCCGCUCCGUCCCUCCGCGGCGUCCCGCCUGACCAACUGCGGGG
rnacentral:lncRNA from 1 species